rnacentral:rRNA from 1 species
AAUGAACGUUGGCGGCGUGGAUUAGGCAUGCAAGUCGAGCGCGAAUCCCCGCAAGGGGAGGAAAGCGGCGAAAGGGAGAGUAAUACGUAGGUACCUGCCCUCGGGUCUGGGAUAGCUGCGGGAAACUGCAAUUAAUACCGGAUGACGUCUGAGGACCAAAGGUGUGAUUCCGCCAGGGGAUGGGCCUGCGUCCUAUCAGCUAGUUGGUGUGGUAAAAGCGCACCAAGGCUAAGACGGGUACGGGGUGUGAGAGCAUGCCCCCGCUCACUGGGACUGAGACACUGCCCAGACACCUACGGGAGCAG